rnacentral:rRNA from 1 species
AUGUGCUUCACAUUUUAUUCCAGUGUGCUUGUUGGGAGGUCUUUGCUCUACUUCAUGUUUGAUGAUGGGUCCAUCCUAGAGUAUGACCUUGCACGGCACGGUCUGGCUGUGGUUGAUCCACCUGAGUCAGACUACAUCGACCAAUGUAACAUCAUGCUGGCGGAGGACGGCGGACUAGGUGUUAAUGAAGUUAUGAAUUUGCACCUCAAAUUGUGGGCACGGGAGGCGAGUGAUAUCACUGAUGCACGAUGGGUGCUGAGCCGAGUCAUCUACCUCGGCAGUUUGCUCCCAAUUAUUGCUUUUGUGGAUGCAGAGACUAGAGUGCUAGUGUUGGGCUUUGCCGAGGGAGCAAAUGUCAUCUUCGUGACCACGGUUGCUGGCGUCUUCAUGAUCAAACUACAAUCAAAUGAGGUGAGAAAGGUGUGCGAUGAUCAUGGCUUUCGUAAUUUGAUUCCAGUUGUCAGCUUCUACACUCCUAUGCCUCGAGUUGAGCACAAGGAUCCGUCGUUGAAGCAUAGUGAGGAGGCAGAUGGUACCGACCAAGAAGGGGAGGAGGAGAAGACAGCAGAUCAUGCACAACAGUUGAUUAACAAUGGGUCCAAUGUUAACAAGGAGGGGGACUUUGUCAACAUCCUCGAAUGCGCUAUCCAUGCCACAGAGAACAGGGUUCCACCUUGUGGGGAAGUUGCUCCAAAGUGUACCGGCACGGUCAACAAAUAUGGAUGCAGCUUGCUAUGUGAAGCUCAAGAGGCGUCUGAUCCUUUGGGUGAUGUCCCCAAGAGUGCGCGGAAUGAAGAGUCCGCGAAGAGUUCAGAUAGAAUCCACAAAGAUGGUGCUGGGAACUCAGAAAACCUGCAGUAG